ensembl:snRNA U6 U6 spliceosomal RNA
AGCCCAGGGCUCGCCUCUGGGAACGACACAGGGAAGAUCAGCAUGGCCCCUGCACAAGGAUGGCAUGCAAAUUCGUGAAGCAUUCCAUAUUUAA